rnacentral:tRNA from 1 species
AGCUCGAUAGCGCAACGGUAGCGCGUUUCUCCCAGGAGAGAAGGAUCUCGGUUCGACUCCGAGCGAGCUA